GCAGACACAUUCCAGCCAAUCAGCAGCAGACCCUCCCUCCCAGACCCUGCCACCUCCUGGACAGCAUCCAUUUUACAUUCAUUGUGAAGCUGCAUUCUUAGUGAGCUGUCCAAGAGGUGGGAGGGUCUGGGAGGGAGGGUCUGCUGCUGAUUGGCUAGAAUGUGUCU
rnacentral:miRNA from 1 species